ensembl:lncRNA
UCCCACUCUUUUCCCCUCACGUUUUCCGCCCUUUCCCCCCCUCACAUUUCCCACCAUUUUUUCCGCUCCUGAUUCUGCCCUUUUGUCCCUUCAGAUUUCCCAUUUUUACCUCAUUUUUAGCCCUUUUCCCCUCACAUCUCCCACCCUUCUUUCCCCCCCUCACGUUUCCCAUCUUUUUCUCCCCUCACAUUUUCCACCCUUUCCUCCCAUCAUGUUUCACACCCUUCUCCCUCACAUUUCCCACCAUUUUCACCCUCACAUUUCCCAUUUUUACCUCACAAUUUCAGUCUUUUCCCCCCUCACAUUUCCCGCUCUUUUCCCCCCUCACAUUUCCCGCUCUUUUCUCCCCUCACCUUUCCCACCCUUUUGUCCCCUCACAUUUCCCAUUUUUACCUCAAGUUUUCCUCUCUUCUCCCCUCACAUUUUCCACCAUUUUCUCCCCUCACAUUUCCCGCUCUUUCCUCUCCUCACAUUUCCCAUUUUUACCUGACCUUUCCCGCCCUUUUCCCCCCUCAUGUUUCACGCUCUUUCCCCCUCACAUUUUCCACCAUUUUCACCCUCACAUUUCCCAUUUUCCCCUCACGUUUUCAGUCCUUUCCUCUCACGUUUCCCGCUCUUUUCUCCCCUCACGUUUCCCGCCUUUUUGUCCCCUCACAUUUCCCAUUUUUACCUCAUUUUCCACCCUUUUCCCCCUCACGUUCCACGCCCUUCUCCCCUCAUAUUUUCCGCCAUUUUCCCCCCUCACAUUUCCCACCCUUUUGUCCCCUCACGUUUCCCAUUUUUACCUCAUUUUCCACCCUUUUCCCCCCCACAUUUCCCGCUCUUUUCUCCCCUCACGUUUCCCGCCUUUUUGUCCCCUCACGUUUCCCAUUUUUACCUCAUUUUCCACCCUUUUCCCCCUCACGUUCCACGCCCUUCUCCCCUCACAUUUUCCGCCAUUUUCCCCACUCACAUUUCCCACCCUUUUUUCCCUCACGUUUCCCAUUUUUACCUCAAGUUUUCCUCCCUUCUCCCCUCACAUUUUCCACCAUUUUUCCCCCUCACAUUUCCCACUCUUUCCUCUCCUCACAUUUCCCAUUUUUACCUGACCUUUCCCGCUCUUUUCCCCCCUCAUGUUUCACGCUCUUUCCCCCUCACAUUUUCCACCAUUUUCACCCUCACAUUUCCCAUUUUCCCCUCACGUUUUCAGUCCUUUCCUCUCACAUUUCCCGCUCUUUUCUCCCCUCACGUUUCCCGCUCUUUUCUCCCCUCACGUUUCCCACCUUUUUGUCCCCUCACGUUUCCCAUUUUUUCUCCCCUAAGAUUUAACAUUUUUAUCUCACCUUUUCCACCCUUUCCUCCCAUCAUGUUUCAUACCCUUCUCCCUCACAUUUCCCAUUUUUACCUCACGUUUUCAGUCCUUUUCCCCUCACAUUUCCCAACGUUUGUUCCUCUCACAUUUCCCACCCUUUUGUUCCCUCACGUUUUCCAUUUUUACCUCACGUUUUCAGUCCUUUCCCCCUCACGUUUUCUGCCAUUUUUCCCCCUCACAUUUCCCAACCUUUUCCCUCACAUUCCCUUUAUUUUUUUUGUUUUUUCGUGUUUUCCAACCUUCUCCCCAUACAUUUCCUACCAUUUUCACCCUCACAUUUGCUAUUUUUACCUCAUGUUUUCAACCCUUUUCCCCUCACAUUUCCCACCAUUUUUUCCUCUCACAAUUGCCACCCUUUUCCCCCCCUCAUGUUUCCCAUUUUUACCUCAUUUUUCACCCUUUUCUCCCUCACAUUUCCCACCAUUUUCACCCUCACAUUUCCCAUUUUUACCUCACGUUUUCAGUCCUUUUCCCCUCACAUUUCCCAACGUUUGUUCCUCUCACAUUUCCCACCCUUUUGUUCCCUCACGUUUUCCAUUUUUACCUCACGUUUUCAGUCCUUUCCCCCUCACGUUUUCUGCCAUUUUUCCCCCUCACAUUUCCCAACCUUUUCCCUCACAUUCCCUUUAUUUUUUUUGUUUUUUCGUGUUUUCCAACCUUCUCCCCAUACAUUUCCUACCAUUUUCACCCUCACAUUUGCUAUUUUUACCUCAUGUUUUCAACCCUUUUCCCCUCACAUUUCCCACCAUUUUUUCCUCUCACAAUUGCCACCCUUUUCCCCNNNNNNNNNNNNNNNNNNNNCUCUCACAUUUCCCGCUCUUUUCUCCCCUCACGUUUCCCGCUCUUUUCUCCCCUCACGUUUCCCACCUUUUUGUCCCCUCACAUUUCCCAUUUUUACCUCAUUUUCAGCCCUUCUCCCUCACAUUUCCCACCAUUUUCACCCUCACAUUUCCCAUUUUCCCCUCACGUUUUCAGUCCUUUCCUCUCACAUUUCCCGCUCUUUUCUCCCCUCACGUUUCCCGCCUUUUUGUCCCCUCACGUUUCCCAUUUUUACCUCAAGUUUUCCUCCCUUCUCCCCUCACAUUUUCCACCAUUUUUCCCCCUCACAUUUCCCGCUCUUUCCUCUCCUCAUGUUUCCCAUUUUUACCUGACCUUUCCCGCUCUUUUCCCCCCUCAUGUUUCACGCUCUUUCCCCCUCACAUUUUCCACCAUUUUCUCCCCUCACAUUUCCCAUUUUCCCCUCACGUUUUCAGUCGUUUCCUCUCACAUUUCCCGCUCUUUUCUCCCCUCACGUUUCCCGCUCUUUUCUCCCCUCACGUUUCCCACCUUUUUGUCCCCUCACAUUUCCCAUUUUUACCUCAAGUUUUCCUCCCUUCUCCCCUCACAUUUUCCACCAUUUUCUCCCCUCACAUUUCCCAUUUUCCCCUCACGUUUUCAGUCCUUUCCUCUCACAUUUCCCGCUCUUUUCUCCCCUCACGUUUCCCGCCUUUUUGUCCCCUCACAUUUCCCAUUUUUACCUCAAUUUCCACCCUUUUCCCCCUCACGUUCCACGCCCUUCUCCCCUCACAUUUUCCACCAUUUUUCCCCCUCACAUUUCCC